rnacentral:rRNA from 1 species
CGUAACGCGUAUGCAAUCUACCUUUUACAGAGGGAUAGCCCAGAGAAAUUUGGAUUAAUACCUCAUAGUAUUAUUGAAUGGCAUCAUUUAAUAAUUAAAGUCACAACGGUAAAAGAUGAGCAUGCGUCCCAUUAGCUAGUUGGUAAGGUAACGGCUUACCAAGGCAACGAUGGGUAGGGGUCCUGAGAGGGAGAUCCCCCACACUGGUACUGAGACACGGACCAGACUCCUACGGGAGGCAGCAGUGAGGAAUAUUGGUCAAUGGGCGCAAGCCUGAACCAGCCAUGCCGCGUGCAGGAUGAAGCAUCUAUGGUGUGUAAACUGCUUUUGUACGAGAAGAAACACUCCUACGUGAAGGAGCUUGACGGUAUCGUAAGAAUAAGGACCGGCUAACUCCGUGCCAGCAGCCGCGGUAAUACGGAGGGUCCAAGCGUUAUCCGGAAUCAUUGGGUUUAAAGGGUCCGUAGGCGGUUUUGUAAGUCAGUGGUGAAAGCCCAUCGCUCAACGGUGGAACGGCCAUUGAUACUGCUAGACUUGAAUUAUUGGGAAGUAACUAGAAUAUGUAGUGUAGCGGUGAAAUGCUUAGAGAUUACAUGGAAUACCAAUUGCGAAGGCAGGUUACUACCAAUAUAUUGACGCUGAUGGACGAAAGCGUGGGGAGCGAACAGGAUUAGAUACCCUGGUAGUCCACGCCGUAAACGAUGGAUACUAGCUGUUCGGAGCAAUCUGAGUGGCUAAGCGAAAGUGAUAAGUAUCCCACCUGGGGAGUACGUUCGCA